rnacentral:tRNA from 1 species
GGAUUAUUAGCUUAGUUCGGUUAGAGCGCUGUCUUGAUAAGACAGAGGUCGCUGGUUCAAAUCCAGUCUAAUCCA